GAAUGAUAUGACGAUCAGAUUUUUUUCCCUAUUGGUUUGAUCACCAGAAUGAUGGUAUCUUUAUUAGCUCUAUCUGAUCAUUC